GAGAGGGCAACAACCCAGACCGCCAGCUAAGGUCCCAAAAUAUUGCUAAGUGGGAAACGAUGUGGGAAGGCAUAGACAGCUAGGAGGUUGGCUUAGAAGCAGCCACCCUUUAAAGAAAGCGGAAUAGCUCACUAGUCGAGUCGGCCUGCGCGGAAGAUGUAACGGGGCUAAACUGGUAACCGAAGCUGCGGAUGCGUGCUUGCACGCAUGGUAGAGGAGCGUUCUGUAAGCCGUUGAAGGUGAAUCGUAAGGUUUGCUGGAGGUAUCAGAAGUGCGAAUGCUGACAUGAGUAACGAUAAUGCGGGUGAAAAACCCGCACGCCGGAAGACCAAGGGUUCCU
rnacentral:rRNA from 11 species